GCCAUAAGCGCCUACUUUAAACACCACGCACAGGGCAUCACGGGAGAGCGACGGGGUCCACCAGGAGUCCAUGUUAA
rnacentral:tRNA from 1 species